UACGGAGGGUGCAAGCGUUGUUCGGAAUUACUGGGCGUAAAGCGCGUGUAGGCGGCCGAUUAAGUCUGGUGUGAAAGCCCGGGGCUCACCCCCGGAAGUGCGCUGGAAACUGGUCGGCUAGAGUAUGGGAGAGGAAAGUGGAAUUCCCGGUGUAGCGGUGAAAUGCGUAGAUAUGUGGAGGAACACCGAUGGCGAAGGCAGCCCCCUGGGUUAACACUGACGCUCAUGCACGAAAGCGUGGGGAGCAAACAGG
rnacentral:rRNA from 1 species